ACUCCAUGACUGUUUCCCAACGUAGAAGUGAACAACAACAAAACCAAUAAAACAGAAACACAGCUAAAUCACUUCAUGUCACUGGGUGGAAUACUACAACCAAGAAAAUUUCAACUUGAUCAGUUUCUUCAGCUUGUAAUGGCGAUGACCCUGUCCCUGCUUUUCAUGGUGUAGGUGGAGACAUGCACAGAUAAGGUGUUGAGAAGGAUCAGAAAGUUUCCUCCUUCCCACCUCUCCCAGAGAGCAAAGAUCCUGAACCCUGAAUCACGCGGGACGUGGGGGAACAAACUUUACACAACUGGUGUCCUCGUAAGAAUAGGAGAUGUGGACAUAGACAUGCCCGGAGUAAAGACCAUGUGAGCACACAGCAAGAAGACAUCCAUCUGCAAGCCAGGGAGAGAGGCCUCAGAAGAAACUAACCCCACUGACACUUUGAACUUGGACUUCCAGCCUUCAGAACUAUAGUCAGAAAAGAGAUGUCUAUUAAGCGCCCCCACCCCCACCCUCUGUAGUACUUGGUAUGACAGCCCGAGCAAAAUAAAACGGAGUGCUUAUA